rnacentral:RNase_P_RNA from 1 species
GGGAGAAGCUGGACCGCUCACGGCUUCGUGCUGAGGAAAGUCCUCCCUCACGGACAGCAGUGACCUGCGUAAGCAGGUAUGCCGAGAGGCAUGGCAACGGAACAGAAACGACACAGCUUCACAGGUAGACAAUGAAAGGGGUUGCCCUUGAGGUUCUGUGGAGAUUUGAUGAAACGGCCGCCCCACUGUGAGCAAGCCCAAACAUUUGGGAUGACAAGUCCAGGACCAAAGGGUAGGGUGCUUAGGUGAAUGCGGUCUGCCUCUCCUUAGGGGGAGGGAAACAGAAGGAGGCUUACACGCUUCACCC